GUGACGUAGUUUGAUCCUGGCUACAGAACGACGCUGGCGGCAGGCCUAACACAUGCAAGUCGAGCGAGGUAGCAAUACCUAGCGGCGGACGGGUGAGUAACGCGUGGGAACGUACCCUUUGCUACGGAAUAGCCCCGGGAAACUGGGAGUAAUACCGUAUGUGCCCUUCGGGGGAAAGAUUUAUCGGCAAAGGAUCGGCCCGCGUUGGAUUAGGUAGUUGGUGGGGUAAUGGCCUACCAAGCCGACGAUCCAUAGCUGGUUUGAGAGGAUGAUCAGCCACACUGGGACUGAGACACGGCCCAGACUCCUACGGGAGGCAGCAGUGGGGAAUCUUAGACAAUGGGCGCAAGCCUGAUCUAGCCAUGCCGCGUGAGUGAUGAAGGCCUUAGGGUUGUAAAGCUCUUUCAGAUGGGAAGAUAAUGACGGUACCAUCAGAAGAAGCCCCGGCUAACUCCGUG
rnacentral:rRNA from 1 species